rnacentral:rRNA from 1 species
UACAGAGGGUGCGAGCGUUGUCCGGAAUCACUGGGCGUAAAGGGCGCGUAGGCGGCUUGAUAAGCGUGCGGUGAAAGCCCGGGCUCAACCCGGGUCGGCCGUGCGAACUGUCGAGCUGGAGCACUGUAGAGGCAGGUGGAAUUCCGGGUGUAGCGGUGGAAUGCGUAGAGCGAGUCCGGAAGAACACCAGUGGCGAAGGCGGCCCGCUGGGCAGUGGCUGACGCUGAGGCGCGACAGCGUGGGAGCAAACAGG